CAGCCAUGGGCUCCCGCGUCGGGAUGCACCGCGAAAACGCCUUUUCCCGCUGACUGCUUUYGAAAGGCAGCGAUCAAGAAAUUUCCUCUCAGGAAGCCACAUAAGAACGUGGAGAGCAACUGUGCUGCAGCUCGAGAGCCCCAGAGGAAACCAGAGCACCUGUUCUGCAGAUCUGCACCCUCCUAGCGCAGUUCUGGUUUCCAAAAAAAGGACUGCUUUAUCUCAAAAAAAAAUCUUCUAAAGAUAUUCUGAUGAGAGAAAUCUCUGCAUUACUGAAGCAUUAAAACAGAAACAGUUGUGUUGCUCUCAGGACGGGUAGGACCUCGCAGCUGGUCACUCCUCGCGCUGAAGGAUCACCCCAGCAAAUGUGACAGCCCGGAGAAGCUGCCUUCCCAUCAGGAGCAACUAAACUGAUGGA